rnacentral:rRNA from 1 species
AUUGAACGCUGGCGGCAUGCCUUACACAUGCAAGUCGAACGGUAACAGGUCUUCGGAUGCUGACGAGUGGCGAACGGGUGAGUAAUACAUCGGAACGUGCCUAGUAGUGGGGGAUAACUACUCGAAAGAGUGGCUAAUACCGCAUGAGAUCUACGGAUGAAAGCAGGGGAUCGCAAGACCUUGUGCUACUAGAGCGGCCGAUGGCAGAUUAGGUAGUAGGUGGGAUAAAAGCUUACCAAGCCGACGAUCUGUAGCUGGUCUGAGAGGACGAUCAGCCACACUGGGACUGAGACAGGGCCCAGACUCCUACGGGAGGCAGCAGUGGGGAAUUUUGGACAAUGGGCGCAAGCCUGAUCCAGCAAUGCCGCGUGCAGGAUGAAGGCCUUCGGGUUGUAAACUGCUUUUGUACGGAACGAAAAGCCCCGGGUUAAUACCCUGGGGUCAUGACGGUACCGUAAGAAUAAGCACCGGCUAACUACGUGCCAGCAGCCGCGGUAA